UCUGGAUUCGACGGGAUUCGCGAAACCCAAGGUGCAUGCCGAGGGGCGGUUUGCCUCGUAAAAAGCCGCAAAAAAAUAGUCGCAAACGACGAAAACUACGCACUAGCAGCUUAAUAACCUGCUUAGAGCCCUCUCUCCCUAGCCUCCGCUCUUAGGACGGGGAUCAAAGCGUUAACCGCGACGGUUACACCAUCAUACCGCUUUCGCUCUACUGGAAGAACGCCUGGGCCAAGCUCAAAAUCGGCGUCGCACGCGGUAAGAAAGAGCACGACAAGCGUUCUGACAUUAAAGAUCGCGAGUGGAAGAUGGACAAAGCACGAAUUAUGAAGAGCGCCAGCCGUUAAGCACUGGAU
rnacentral:tmRNA from 1 species